UUUUUUUGACAACCCUAAAUCCAGCGAGCAGAAUGCAGGCAGCGGCAACCGGCAACUCCGACGGAAGAGUGUCAAUGGCGGACGCCAGAGGGGAACGAUCAUCAUUUCAUUUUCUAUCCAAAUUGAAACGAGAGAAGCCAAGAGUAAAUAACACACUUAACGUUUAGCGUUCGUUGAAUAGCAGGGAUUUCGAAUUCCGAUUUCCGGUACUUCAGUAUUGCUCUCAAAUGAAUUUCAUUUCUGGAUUCAUGUGGAAUUAUUUGAUAUCUCAGACUCAAACCUUUUCCGCUAUGAAUGUUGAUAUUGCACUGUUACUGCAUAUAAUAAGAGUAGGGGGCUCAAUUAUUAACUUUUGCAGUUGUACAGCUCAAGCCCACCGCUAGCCGAUAUUAUCCGCUUUGGUCCGUUAUGUAUCGCCGUCAGCCUCAUGGUUUUAAGACGCGUCUGCUGCUUGUCUAAAGAUGAGGGACAAAACUUUACUCGAUCACAUCAAGCAAGAAGGACAUCUAACUGUUUUUUAAUUUUACAGGCAC